GACAGAGGGUGCAAACGUUGCUCGGAAUUAUUGGGCGUAAAGAGCUCGUAGGCGGUUUGUCGCGUCGAAUGUGAAAACCCGGGGCUCAACCCCGGGCCUGCAUUCGAUACGGGCAGACUAGAGUUCGGUAGGGGGAGACUGGAAUUCCUGGUGUAGCGGUGGAAUGCGCAGAUAUCAGGAGGAACACCGGUGGCGAAGGCGGGUCUCUGGGCAGUAACUGACGCUGAGGAGCGAAAGCGUGGGGAGCGAACAGG
rnacentral:rRNA from 1 species